CCCUUCGCAGCGGUGCGCACAGCAUCGGAGACCCGGCAGAAGGAUCACGACUCUCAGAGGACCCUCACGUCGGCCGUGGACCGCGCACUGUACGUAUCACAUCCGAUCGUCUGCUGUUAUAAUUUACAGUUUGCUCAUCGUCGCCCGCCGUGGUCCAUGUGCAAGUCUCCGGUCACGUCAGAAAUGUAACGCAUCCGUGAUCUACCCUGUAGAUCCGGGCUUUUGUAGAAUAAUCGAUACGUUCAGAAGCUCGUCUCUACAGGUAUCUUACGGAUGGAAGUUUACCCCGACCCGCGGCGGCACCAUACAUCGAACGGACGGCAGCCACGACGCCUGAUGAUAGUAUAGUACCUACCUAUACAAUAUAUUAUAUUAUUAGUUAAUUUUGAGCCUUAACCCGUCGUUGCAUCCUCCGCCGACGUCAACGAACGAGUAUGAAGGUUUUCGAUGCACGUAUGGUUUAGCUGUCGCGGCGUCUCCUCUGCGCUCGUCAGUCGUCAAUCAUCAUCCGUUCGAAAAUAUAAUACUUAAUAUUUUUACUCAUUUUUUUACAUUUUGUAUAAUUUCCGCAUAAUUUCUUCUAUUUAAAAUGAAAUAAGUGUCAAUAUUUCAUCCUUGUCGUGACCGUGGAUCAAUCGAUUAUUUAUAGCCACUGUAGGUUAUUAACAUAUUAUUAUAAUACAUAUAUAUAGGUACGUACAAACAUAAAUAAUAUGAUACACCAAUACACCAUACAUUAUUGCAUACUCGGUUAGGUUAGCUUAAUAUCUUUCGUGAUUUAACAAUAUUUUGUUAGGUACUUAUUUUCUUAUGGUUGUAGUUAUAUACUUAUAGUCGUAUAUACAUAUAUAUGAGUUUGUCACAAUUAAACAUUAUUGAAUAUUAUUGUUAUAGAAAUGGUGACAUUAAUGUAUAAUCCCUAUACUAUGGUGCGUGUAUGUACCUAUAUAUAAUAUAUUAUAACAAUUAACAAUAAUUUUAUUUUGUAUAACAUGACAUUUAUCUACAAAAAUGUUUCAUGUUUUGUGUUUUUAUUUCUUCAUAAUAUUAUUUAGUUAUAGACAUAUAAACUAAAAUCUAGAAUAAGAAAAUAAAAAAAAUAUAUGUUCACAUAAUAUACAAACCAGUAAGUACUAAGUUAAAUUAUUGUGUAUUGCCUUAAAUAGUUCUAAACAUAUUUUUAGUGAUACAAGUUUUUAACAUUUUUAAUUUUUAUGUAUAUUCAUUUAUUUUAUUUUUAAAUAAAUGUUGUUUUAACUUUUCAGUACAAUAAAUAAUUAAAAUUUA